CCCUUAGAUGUCCUAGGCUGCACGCGCGCUACACUGAUGUGUCCAGUAAGCACCUAACCUCUUCCGAAGGGAACGGGUAACCUUAGCAAAGCACAUCGUGAUGGGGAUAGAUUAUUGCAAUUAUUAGUCUUGAACGAGGAAUUCCUAGUAAGCACAAGUCAUCAGCUUGUGUUGAUUACGUCCCUGCCCUUUGUACACACCGCCCGUCGCUCCUACCGAUUGAAUGUUCCGGUGAAUACUUCGGACUGCGAGGUCUGCAGUUUCUGCGUUCCUUGCGGAAAGUUGAAUAAACCUUAACAUUUAGAGGAAGGAGAAGUCGUAACA
rnacentral:rRNA from 1 species